rnacentral:lncRNA from 1 species
UUUUGAGUCAGACUCACUAUCAUUGGUUGGUUAAAUAACAAAAUGCAAGUUCAGAAACUGCACAUGAUAGGAAUUCAACCUUAAUAUAUCAACCUUAAUAUAUGCUAUAUGCAAGAGUCAUGUUGACUACUAAUCCUCAGUUUGCUCAUUGGCAAAGUGGAAAUUUCUCUCUCUCCUCUCCCCAUUUGAUCAUCAGGACUCUGAGACUGAGCAAGUGGGGCUGAUUUUCAGGUGGGGAACAAUGCAGGCUGGAAGUUAUAUGUUUGAAUCCAGGUUCUGCCACUGGUUAACCAUAGGGGAAAUUAGCUACUUCCAGAAUAUCUUUGACCCUGAUUUCCCUCCUAUAAUGGGGCUCUUUCCAUUCCAGGUUACUGUGAGGACUGAAUGGGAUCCUGUCUGGAUGAGAAGCUGGCGUGCAACACAAUUUUUCCUUCACAGCCUGCCUUUAGCUGUUUUGGGCUACAGGAGUGAAUUUUCCCUGGAGAACUUACCCUGUUGGUAAUCUGAGACCCUUGCCGGAGAUGACAUGGAGCGUGAAAUCUUAACGGAUCUUUUGUCUUCGGCUCUCUAGAGCUCUCACCAAAUUCUAAUGGGAAGCUGAUGGGUGAGGAGAGGCAGGGCCUGGGGAUGGGGGUUGGCUUUUACAUCCCUCCUGUUUUCAUUCUGAGCAGGGUCUUGCUUGUUCUUGUCUGGUCUGAUGCUGUUGGAUUUGAUCCCUGCUGGCCUCCUGUAACCAGGCCUGUGGUGUAAUCUUACACCUAAUUAGACAAUCAUGCAGCAAGCCCUGGCCCCUGCUUCAUGAUGGAUGAUUUAUUUUUCUAUGCUGUGCUCAGGAAAGUCGAGACUGCAAAGUCAUUUCAGGGGUCAAGCUGCUUCUUCCCUUGCCCCCAGUCAAGUCCCUACCCCUCUGCCUUCUGUGGCCCCUGGGUGGGGAUGUACUCCUGCAGAUCUGAGUGAGUGCAGGGUGGUCUUUGGUGUGGCACUCAGUGGCAGACAGGGUUAUUCCUGUGCCUUCCAUUGUGCCUGCUUGGCAUGGUUUUGAAGGCAUUGCUCCCUCACUUGGAGUCUUCAGCUCCAAAAGUGACCACUUCAGCAUCCUGUGCCUGUGUUUCUCUAAUAUUGUCCUUCAAUGUAUGCAUUUGUGGCAAUGAAUGAAAAAGCACAUAGCUCUUCAAGAAUACACCAGCAAUUUCCUGUUCUACCCUAAGCAUGCAGUACUGUCUAGAACACAUAUUCUAUGCACCCGUUUCCUCCCUAGUCUCUUAUCAGGGACUUGACUCUCUAUGAUUCCUUAAAAAUUUGUGUCUCUUCCUGGAAGCCUUCCAUGAAUCUCCCAGCCUUCCAUGAAUGAUCGCACCAUGCUUUAUUACUGAUUGGUGAUUGACAGGUCAUACCUUCCUACCAGACUCCUGGAAACUAAAGUAAAACCACUGUCAAUGUACCUAGCAAGUUCUUGGCACACAGGUCCCAGGAAAAUAUGCCUAUUAAAUAAAUUAGUCAAACAUGAGUUUCA